rnacentral:rRNA from 1 species
AACGAACGCUGGCGGCAUGCCUAAUACAUGCAAGUCGAACGAGAUCUUCGGAUCUAGUGGCGCACGGGUGCGUAACGCGUGGGAAUCUGCCCUUGGGUUCGGAAUAACAGUUAGAAAUGACUGCUAAUACCGGAUGAUGACGAAAGUCCAAAGAUUUAUCGCCCAAGGAUGAGCCCGCGUAGGAUUAGCUAGUUGGUGAGGUAAAGGCUCACCAAGGCUACGAUCCUUAGCUGGUCUGAGAGGAUGAUCAGCCACACUGGGACUGAGACACGGCCCAGACUUCUACGGGAGGCAGCAGUAGGUAAUAUUGGACAAUGGGCGAAAGCCUGAUCCAGCAAUGCCGCGUGAGCGAUGAAGGCCUUAGGGUUGUAAAGCUCUUUUACCCGGGAUGAUAAUGACAGUACCGGGAGAAUAAGCCCCGGCUAACUCCGUGCCAGCAGCCGCCGUAA